AUUGAACGCUGGCGGCAGGCCUAACACAUGCAAGUCGAGCGGAUGAAGGGAGCUUGCUCCUGGAUUCAGCGGCGGACGGGUGAGUAAUGCCUAGGAAUCUGCCUGGUAGUGGGGGAUAACGUCCGGAAACGGGCGCUAAUACCGCAUACGUCCUGAGGGAGAAAGUGGGGGAUCUUCGGACCUCACGCUAUCAGAUGAGCCUAGGUCGGAUUAGCUAGUUGGUGGGGUAAAGGCCUACCAAGGCGACGAUCCGUAACUGGUCUGAGAGGAUGAUCAGUCACACUGGAACUGAGACACGGUCCAGACUCCUACGGGAGGCAGCAGUGGGGAAUAUGGGACAAUGGGCGAAAGCCUGAUCCAGCCAUGCCGCGUGUGUGAAGAAGGUCCUCGGAUUGUAAAGCACUUUAAGUUGGGAGGAAGGGCAGUAAGUUAAUACCUUGCUGUUUUGACGUUACCAACAGAAUAAGCACCGGCGAACUUCGU
rnacentral:rRNA from 1 species